ensembl:lncRNA LINC00939 long intergenic non-protein coding RNA 939
UGCCCACGGGCCCCGCCCUGCACUAGGCGGAAGCCCCCAAAGUAUCAGCGCCGCUUCGUGGAGCCUGGCGACUGCUUUGGGAAGUCCUGCUGGCAGGCACUCUGCCCCUGGGGGUGUGCAAAGAGUUGUCCAGUUACCUUGAUCUUCUCACAGCCUCCUCCCCAGGGCACCAGGAGAGACCAGGAUUGGAGGACGGUAAAGAACACACUUCCCAGAGGAUUCUUGGAGGUGGCUUCCUCCAGGCAGUAAAUCUACAGCCCAGGCUCCCUGCAUCUUAUGGCUCCAAUCACUUUGGAUCUCAUCGUCGCCUGCACAUUGCCAUACACAGGGAAGGAGAAGAGAUGGAGAAGGCAAAGACUUUCUGAAAGCCGUGGCUAAAAGCUGGCAUGUGUCACAUCAGCUCACAUUCCAUUGUAGAGACGGGGUUUCACCGUGUUAGCCAGGAUGGUCUUGAUAUCCUGACCUCGUGAUCCGCCCGCCUUGGCUUCCCAAAGUGCUGGGAUUACAGGCGUGAGCCACCGCUCCCGGCCUGGCAGGCAUUCUUGAGGCAAACGGGAAAUGGGUGAACGGGAGGAACAUUGGCAGCACUUGUGGUCUGCACCAAGAACUGAAUCGAAUUUCCAUGUGUUAUUGAAUGUUCACAAAGACCUUGUACAGCGAGUGUUACUACCUCUGGUCAAUGAUUCAACUCAAGGCUCAGAAAAGUCAAGUGUCUUGUCCAGGGACACUUAGUCAGAAGUGAAUCCAAGGUUUAAGCUCAAGUCUGCCUAACUCUGAAUUUCACAGCCUUUUGCUACAUAUGGCGAAUAAUAUAUCCCUGAGCACUAAAGGCAGACUCCAAGGAUCUUGUCUCUGCAAUCAUCAUUCUGGCCAUAAUUUAUGAAAAGCAACCCAAAGUAUGUGAUGUAAUAAAAAGUACUAUCUAUGAGUUUACCCUUCCAAAAAUUGAACUGAAUUCUGAGCUCUAAAUUUGGAAUCAAAAGAACUUUUCUCUGCACUAAUCAUUUGGAACAUCACUUAAAGAAAACAACGAAAAACUGGUGUCCCCUGAGAGAAAGCAAUACAAAACAUUAUGCAUAAAGAAAUCCUUCCAAAAAAUAAACCAAAUCCAGUCAAAUCUCUAGUUUUGACUCCUAGCUUACCGGAAAUACGUGAUGGGAAAAAAAUGAAAUGACACCACUAUGAUUCAAUCAGCCAAAUCCAGCAUAUGCAAAUUUCUACCAGAUAAAUGGUUUAGUUUCUUCCCCAAACAAAUGGCACAAGGAAACGGAGAUGGAGUUCCCCUCUGCCACCCAGACUGGAGUACAGUGGCGCGAUCCUGGCCAUCGCAACCUCCGCCUCCCAGGUUCAAGCGAUUCUCCUGCCUCAGUCUCUCAAGUAGCUGGGAUAUGGGCACCUGUCACCAUGCCCAGCUAAUUUUUUUAAAAUUUAUUUUUAGUAGAGAUGGGGUUUCACCAUGUUGGCCAGGCUGGUCUCGAACUCCUGACCUCAGGUGAUCCACCCACACUUUUUAUUGUUUGCCUACACUUUCUAGACUUGCUUCAUCAGCCUACUCCGUUUCUGGUUGAUAUGGUUUGGUUGUGUCCCCACUCAAAUCUUAUCUAGAAGUGUAAUCCCCAAGUCUCAAGGGAGGGACCUGGUGUGAGGUGAUUGGAUUGGGGGGUGGUUCCCGCCAUGCUGUUCUCAUGAUAGUGAGUGAGUUCUCAUGAGAUCUGAUGGUUUUAUAAGGCAGUUUUCCCUAUUCUUGCUCACUCUUCUCUCUCUUUCUGCCAUGUGAAGAAGGUCCUUGCUUCCCCUUCACCUUCUACCAUGAUUGUAAGUUUCCUGAGGCCUCCCCUCAGCCAUGCACAACUGUGAGUCAAUUAAACCUCUUUCCUUUAUAAAUUACUCAGUCUCAGGUCGUAUCUUUAUAGCAGUAUGAGAAUGGACUAAUACACUGGUCUAUCCUUCAUCCAAAUUAACUACCUGCACUGCAGUCCUUGUCUCAGGCUCUGCUUUGAGGGACCCCAACUGUGACAGCCGCAUUAGAAUGCAUCACAUACUGCAGUGAAAUUCUAGAGUGGGUGUUGUCAGGUGGUGAUGAUUGUUAGAUAUGUCAGUCUGUUUUCAGGCUGCUGAUAAAGACAUACCUGAGACUGGGUAAUUUAUAAAGGAAAAGGAGGUUUAAUGGACUCACAGUUCCACAUGGCUAGGGAGGCCUCACAAUCAUGGCAGAAGGUGAAAGGCACGGCUUACAGGGUGGCAGCAAGAGAGGAAAUGAGAACCAAGUGAAAAGGUUUCUGCUUAUAAAACCAUCAGCUCUUGUGAGACUUAUUCAUUACAAUGAGAACAAUAUGGGGGAAACUGCCCCCAUGAUUCAAUUAUCUCCCACCAGAUCCCUCCUACAACACAUGAGAAUUGUGGGUGCUACAAUUCAAGAUGAGAUUUGAGUGGGGACAAAGUCAAACCAUAUCAUUAGAUAGGACACUGGAGAAAGGCAAGAAAGAAAAGACAUCUGAAGAAUGAAGGGAGCCAAAGAAAUGCCAACAUUUUGCUUUUUGAAGAAAAGCUAAAUUAAAGUCAAAAUGGAUUUAUCAAUUUCCUUGGGUUCGUGAAUGUACAGAACUUUAUUAAGACUGUCAUGCUGUCAUCAUGGCUGGAUCUGAUACGGCCACCGUGGACCUUGAGGUGACCUCGGGAAUGGAGACAGUGCAUGGGAGAGAAUCACAUUGGAAGGGGCCUGGGUUUCUGAAGACCCUGUAAGACAGAUCUCCUUGCAGCCCUGACUGCCCACAUUAGGGCUUUUAUGUUAGGGUGAAGUUACCUUGCAUUGUCAUAUAAGCAAUUGCUAUUUGUGGUGUCUUGCAAAUAAACCUAUUCUGAUCUAGUAUGUUUCCU